CGGCCCAUUAGGCCCACGAGCUUUCCUCUUCGUAGGCUCGCGGCGUCUACUCCUCCACUCCACCAGAGCGAAACUGCAAGGCGGCAAUGGAGGCCGGAGAUGGAAGAGGAGGAGGAGCGGAGGAGGAGGAGGAGGAGCAGGUGAUGAGCGAGGUGCACCUGGGAUGCCCGCCCCGCUUCUCCGGGCUCUACGUCUCCCGCUUCAGCUUCUCCUCCCGCCCGCUAGGGCCAUCUGCGGGCAGCGACGGCGGAGAAUGUAGCGGUGUGCGCGAGCAGGUCGCGGCGUCGAGCAGUUCUUGUGAGCGUGGUUCGCCUGACGCUGUUACCGUGGAUGAGGACGGGGAUCUCGUUCUUGACAGGAGAAGAAGGAACAGAGGCAGGAGUGAUCAUGUGCUCACUGUUCAGCAUGGUAUCACCUCCUCUCUUAGGAGCGUUGGUCUCCAGGUUUGGAAGGCGGCAUUGCUAUUAACUGAUUUUGUAUUGCAUAAGAGCUUUACAUCGUCUGAGUUUAAUGGUGUUACUGCCAUAGAGAUCGGUGCUGGGACAGGUUUGGUAGGGUUGGCACUAGCUCGAGUUGCUAAGAAAAUCUUCAUUACAGAUAGGGGCUCUGAUAUCCUCGAUAACUGCUUGGCUAAUGUCCAACUUAACUCAAGCAUGCUAAAGUUUGAUGAAGCUAAAGCCUGUGUGCGGGAACUGGAUUGGAAAAUGUCAUGGCCUCCACCUGUGUUUAAAUGUGAUUCAUCUGAUCCAAGUUCAAAAUACUUAUGGUAUACAAGUGAAAUCGAGGCGGCUGAGAAAGCUACAACACUAUUUGCUGCGGAUGUUAUUUACAGUGACGAUCUGACUGAUCUGUUUUUCAGCAUAGCAAAGAAACUGAUGUCUCAUGGUGCUGAGAAGACUUGGUAUUCUCCUUCGUAUCUGGUAGGUAUUGUACUUGACCCUGGAGAAGAGAUAUAACUUCAGUAUGGACGAACUAGAUGUUGUAGCCAAUGGUUACAAGCACUUCCGAAGUUUCUUCACGGUUCAGGAUGAAAGCGGAGCUCUGGAUGAUAAUUCAUGUAGACCAGAUUUUGUUGGAGAGCAGAUGGACCUUGCAGAGGUUCCUCAGUACAUCAGAGAAUAUGACAGGGGCAAAGAUUUGGAGAUGUGGAAGAUAAUGUACAACCCAAAUCCAGAAUAGCAAUGUCUUUUACAGAAAUUACCCGCUUUUUAAUGUACCACUACAAUGCAUUUUUGCAUGUUUGUAUAACUGUGGGUGUGUUUAGUUCUUUGGGUGUAAAGUUUUUGAAGUAUACGGAUAUACAUUUGAAGUAUUAAACGUAGACUAAUAACAAAACAAACUAUAGAUUCCGCAUGUAAAC